GGCCUAAUGGUCUAGAAGUAUGAUACUCGCUUUGGGUGUUUCUCACUUGCGAGUGGUCCAGGGUUCAAUUCCCUGUUAGGCCC